UUGGCCGGGUCACGGGCGCAGCUGCCUACCACUGCCGCACCGCACCUGCGCUUCUCAGCCCUUGGGCGGUCAGUGGGACCCGGCGCCACGGAGCAGGGGGCGGUGCCCGUUGCGGAGGCUCGGGCCGCGCGGGAGCCCACCAUGGGGGGGGCUCGGGAAUGGCGGGCUGCAGGCCCCGAGCCCUGCCCCUCUGGGAGGCGGCUGAAACCCGGUGAGAAUUCGAGCGUGGCGCGGGUGGGCCAGCAGUGUUUGGGGACCCGGAGCACUCUCCACAGCUGCUGGUCCAGGUGCUAAGUCCCUCACUGCCCAGCACCUGCAGCGCCGACCGGCCGCUCUUGAGUGCGGGGCCUGCAGAGCCCACGCCCACCCGGAACUCGCGCUGGCCCGUGAGCGCCGUGCCGCAGCCCCGGUUCCCGCCCGCGCCUCUCCCUCCACACUUCGCCGCAAGCAGAGGGAGCCGGCUCCGGCCUCAGCUGGCCCAGAGAGGGGCUCCCUCAGUGCAGUGGCGAGCUGAAGGGCUCCUCAAGGGCGGCUGGAGUGGACGCUGAGGCCGAGGAGACGCCAAGAGCAAACGAGGGCUGCUAGUACAUUGUCACCUCUCACUGGAUGCAAGAGAAGAUAAGGAAGACAAGAUCUCAACCACUUUCAGCAAAGCUUUGCGGAGAAUGCAACAUCCUUCAAGACACCAUGAAGCUCCACGCAUCUGGUCAUCUUGUUUCUUCAGGGAAUAAAUUUAUUGUUCUCUGCUUCAGGUGACUGGAGGAGACAAAGUGAUCCCCCAUUUAUGUCUCUGCCUCUACCUUCCCUGCUGCUACCUGCAACUCUCUGGUGUCUUUGGGGGGUUCCAACUCCUUGACGGGGAGGGCGAGUUCCCUGGGCAAUUGGCCAUCAGUGCACCCUGCCUCUAUUGGGAAGAGCUCUUCUACCAGGCUGUUCCAUUCUCACAAGUAAGCCUAAAAGAGAUGGCUCCCUCAGUGGUUUACCUCUGGUCCUAUCAAUCUGAUGAUGAGGCCACUUAGUUCUAAGUAAAGUGACAGAUGACCAAGGACUUUCUUUGAAGAGACAUUGGGUUGGCCAGGCGCGGUGGCUCUUGCUUGUAAUCCCAGCACUUUGGGAGGCCGA
rnacentral:lncRNA from 1 species